rnacentral:misc_RNA from 1 species
UCUCCGUAGGUGAACCUGCGGAGGGAUCAUUUCCACGCUUUGGCGCGGCGCGUUCGCCUGAAAAGGCGGGUGCGCAGCCCAAACCCCCCACACAACCACGCGAGUGGCUGAGUGUCGCCCAUGUGCCGGGGUGGCGGCUUAAUACGCUAAAUGACCCCGGUUGCCCUGGAGGGAGUGCGUCCGCGCGCGCCCUCUGUCGCUUGAGGCCGGCGCCUGCGCGUCACAGCGCGGGCGUCGCACGCCUAGGGGCACAAAUACCAACUGCAAGCGACGACCCCCCAACCAAAAUAACCAAGCCUUCAAACUGUCCUUAGCGGGACACCAAACCCUGCAAUCGGAGCCUCCGCGCUCUGAGAUGCUAACCGCUAAAAACUUUUGGCAAUGGAUAUCUUGGCUACU